rnacentral:rRNA from 1 species
UAUACAUGCAGUCGAGCGAACAGACGAGGAGCUUGCUCCUCUGACGUUAGCGGCGGACGGGUGAGUAACACGUGGAUAACCUACCUAUAAGACUGGGAUAACUUCGGGAAACCGGAGCUAAUACCGGAUAAUAUAUUGAACCGCAUGGUUCAAUAGUGAAAGACGGUUUUGCUGUCACUUAUAGAUGGAUCCGCGCCGCAUUAGCUAGUUGGUAAGGUAACGGCUUACCAAGGCAACGAUGCGUAGCCGACCUGAGAGGGUGAUCGGCCACACUGGAACUGAGACACGGUCCAGACUCCUACGGGAGGCAGCAGUAGGGAAUCUUCCGCAAUGGGCGAAAGCCUGACGGAGCAACGCCGCGUGAGUGAUGAAGGUCUUCGGAUCGUAAAACUCUGUUAUUAGGGAAGAACAAAUGUGUAAGUAACUAUGCACGUCUUGACGGUACCUAAUCAGAAAGCCACGGCUAACUACGUGCCAGCAGCCGCGGUGAUACGUAUGUGCCAAGCGUUAUCCGGAAUUAUUGGGGGUAAAGCGCUCGUACGCGGUUUUUUAAGUUUCAUGUGAAUGCCCACGUGUCGUCCGUGUACGCUCAUUGAAUACUGAAAGACUUGACUGCAGAAGAGAAAGGUGGAAAUCCACGUGUAGCUAUGAAAUGCGCAUAGAUGUGGAGGAACACCAGUGAUGAAAGCCAGUUUCUGCUCUGUAACUGACGCUAACGUGCGAAAGUACGGACAUCAAAGUCGACUACAUCCCCGGGGAUUCCACGUAUUUAAUCGACGAUUGCUCGCUGCUCAUGGGAUUUCCGCUUUCUUACUGCUGCAGUUAAGUUUUUCAGUUUCCCAUGCUGCGCAAUAGGUACAGCCAGGGUGCAUUCUCAUCGGACUUGAAAAAGCCCCC